rnacentral:rRNA from 1 species
GACGAACGCUGGCGGCGUGCCUAAUACAUGCAAGUAGAACGCUGAAGGAGGAGCUUGCUUCUCUGGAUGAGUUGCGAACGGGUGAGUAACGCGUAGGUAACCUGCCUGGUAGCGGGGGAUAACUAUUGGAAACGAUAGCUAAUACCGCAUAAGAGUAGAUGUUGCAUGACAUUUGCUUAAAAGGUGCAAUUGCAUCACUACCAGAUGGACCUGCGUUGUAUUAGCUAGUUGGUGAGGUAACGGCUCACCAAGGCAACGAUACAUAGCCGAACUGAGAGGGUGAACGGCCACCCUGGGACUGAGACACGGCCCAGACUCCUACGGGAGGCAGCAGUAGGGAAUCUUCGGCAAUGGACGGAAGUCUGACCGAGCAACGCCGCGUGAGUGAAGAAGGUUUUCGGAUCGUAAAGCUCUGUUGUAAGAGAAGAACGAGUGUGAGAGUGGAAAGUUCACACUGUGACGGUAUCUUACCAGAAAGGGACGGCUAACUACGUG